rnacentral:rRNA from 1 species
AAAACAUGUUUGUUUGUAGUUUUAAAUAGUUUGACCUGCUCACUGAUAAAAAUUUGAAGAGCCGCGGUAUCCUGACCGUGCAAAGGUAGCAUAAUCAUUAGUUCUUUAAUUGGGAACUUGUAUGAAUGGUUGGACAAAAGAAAAGCUGUCUACAAUAAUAAAAAUUGAAUUUAACUUUUAAGUGAAAAGGCUUAAAUAAUUUAAAGUGACGAUAAGACCCUAUAAAACUUUAUACGAAAUUUUAAACUAAAUUGAUUUUUAAAUUUUUAGUAUUUAUAUGGUAUUUUAUUGGGGCGAUAAAAGUAUAAAUAAAAGUAACUGCUAUUUUCUUAAACAAUAAUGUUUGUAUAAAAGUAAAUGAUCCUUUAUAAAGAGUAAAAAACUAAGUUACUUUAGGGAUAACAGCGUAAUUUUUUUUAAGAGUUCAUAUCGAAAAAAAAGAUUGCGACCUCGAUGUUGAAUUAAAAAAUCUUUCUAGGGCAGCACCUAAAAAAGAAGAUCUGUUCGAUCUUUAAAUUUUUACAUGA